ensembl:lncRNA
GGAGUUUAGACUCAGGCCACUAGCUGAUUUGAACAGCUCAUUUCCCUGAGAGCUUCUCCUGUCUGUGGCCCUAGAUGACCACAUCCAGGGUCAUCUCUCUCCUUCCCAAUGCCAUCUUCACGGAGGAUACAGACAGGCAUGCAGAAGUAACUAGACGUCCAACACAUGCCAAAGUCUUGCGGGCCCAGGAUUUCAAACAAAAGAAAACUCGGAUCCAGCUUAGAAAUAAUGUUUCACUCAAGAUAAGGCUUGUGGUUUAGGAGAUUCUGGUCUGGCCUGCCUCACUUUAAGACUUCUAUCAUCUCUUUUCAAAACCUGAGGAGGACCUCAUUUCCUGUUUGAUAGUUCUUCAUGCUUUGCCAGCCUCCGGGUCUUUAACGAAGCUUGCCAAGAAUUCCCGGCUGGGAAGGACAGCCUGAGUUCAUCAUAGAGAAUGAGCUGGCACCACAGUUGUAGUG